UAGUAUCUAUCCCAAAGACCAGGGAGAAAGGAAGGAAAGAUUCUGGUUCUGUCCUCUUCCCCAAGGCAAGGCUGGCUGCCCUACCAACAGAGGCAAAGAGAAGAGUGUGCAAGGCUGGCUGCCCUCCCAACAGAGGCAAAGAGGAGUGUGUGUUGAAAUAUCCAUUGAAUCCCUGAGACAACUGGAUCCUGGCCCAUUGAAUCAUAAACUCAUUAUGGAGGCUGGGAAGACCUAGAAUGUGGCAUCACUAUUUGGAAACCAUGCCGAUUACCGACCGAGCUCUCAAUGGAAAAAUGCAGUCGGCGUGAACCACGCACGAACACAGCAGAGAAAGAAGAAAACACACACCACGAGGAACCCUAAUAGGACAAUACAUUAUAAGCCUCAUGGUACAUCCACUUGGUGUGCUGGGAGAGUCAGGAUGAGGACCUGAGAAGAACAGCAGCUUGAACCUGACUUCAUUUAACAGCCCACUGCCCUCUUGCCAAGAACCCAUCACAGACCUUCCCAGAAGAGAGGGAUGAGCCUCACCUAUGAAUAAGUCCUCAGAAACUCAAAUUUGAUUCUAAUGGAUUGUUUUCUCAGAAAGACUGAGCAUGUCCCCCCACAUCUCUGUCAUUUCCCACAGUAGUAACCUCUGCAGAUGCCACAUAGAAAACAAAACAAAACAAAAAAACAUGAGGUUGGUGGGCAGAUAGGCAGGGUAUAAACAAACAGCCUUGUAACCCAGAAGCUGUGUGAUAUACAGUAAACUUCACAACACUGAAAAGAUGUCCUAUCUGUUAAAAUGGGGUAAUAACAACUACCCGAAUGUUUAGGAAUAGAACUUCAAUAAAUGAUACAUUUUAUAGUACAGCA
rnacentral:lncRNA from 1 species